CAUUGGCCCUGGCCAAUCAUGAUUUGGCCAGGAGGUUGUGCCAAGCAACCAUUCUCCCGGCCGAUCGGGAGAUCAUGAAGAGUUAGCCAGUGUCUGACAUGCUUUCUUCUUUUUAUCCGACAAUGAUCUAGGUGAGGUCCUACUCUUUUUUUUUCUUCUUCAUUAUUGUUCUCUAUCAAUUCGAUUUUCUGACAGUUGGCCUUCUGCCUGCAACUGAUCUACAAUAUAUCUGAGCUAGAGGUCAGGUACCGAAGGUUCGGCGA
rnacentral:lncRNA from 1 species